rnacentral:rRNA from 1 species
UACGAAGGGUGCAAGCGUUACUCGGAAUUACUGGGCGUAAAGCGUGCGUAGGUGGUUUGUUAAGUCUGAUGUGAAAGCCCUGGGCUCAACCUGGGAACGGCAUUGGAAACUGGCUUACUAGAGUGCGGUAGAGGGGUGUGGAAUUCCCGGUGUAGCAGUGAAAUGCGUAGAUAUCGGGGAGGAACAUCUGUGGCGAAGGCGACACCCUGGACCAGCACUGACACUGAGGCACGAAAGCGUGGGGAGCAAACAGG